rnacentral:rRNA from 1 species
AACGAACGCUGGCGGCGUGCUUAACACAUGCAAGUCGAACGGAAAGGCCCUGCUUUUGUGGGGUGCUCGAGUGGCGAACGGGUGAGUAACACGUGAGUAACCUGCCCUUGACUUUGGGAUAACUUCAGGAAACUGGGGCUAAUACCGGAUAGGAGCUCCUGCUGCAUGGUGGGGGUUGGAAAGUUUCGGCGGUUGGGGAUGGACUCGCGGCUUAUCAGCUUGUUGGUGGGGUAGUGGCUUACCAAGGCUUUGACGGGUAGCCGGCCUGAGAGGGUGACCGGCCACAUGGGGACUGAGAUACGGCCCAGACUCCUACGGGAGGCAGCAGUGGGGAAUAUUGCACAAUGGGCGGAAGCCUGAUGCAGCAACGCUGCGUGCGGGAUGACGGCCUUCGGGUUGUAAACCGCUUUCGCCUGUGACGAAGCGUGAGUGACGGUAAUGGGUAAAGAAGCACCGGCUAACUACGUG